AACGAACGCUGGCGGCAGGCUUAACACAUGCAAGUCGAACGCCCCGCAAGGGGAGUGGCAGACGGGUGAGUAACGCGUGGGAAUCUACCUAGUUCUACGGAACAACAGUUGGAAACGACUGCUAAUACCGUAUACGCCCUAUGGGGGAAAGAUUUAUCGGAAUUAGAUGAGCCCGCGUAAGAUUAGCUAGUUGGUGAGGUAAUGGCUCACCAAGGCGACGAUCUUUAGCUGGUCUGAGAGGAUGAUCAGCCACACUGGGACUGAGACACGGCCCAGACUCCUACGGGAGGCAGCAGUGGGGAAUAUUGGACAAUGGGCGCAAGCCUGAUCCAGCCAUGCCGCGUGAGUGAUGAAGGCCUUAGGGUUGUAAAGCUCUUUCAGUAGGGAAGAUAAUGACGGUACCUACAGAAGAAGCCCCGGCUAACUUC
rnacentral:rRNA from 1 species